AUUGAACGCUGGCGGCAGGCCUAACACAUGCAAGUCGAGCGGAAACGAAGGGAGCUUGCUCCCAGGCGUCGAGCGGCGGACGGGUGAGUAACACGUGAGAAUCUGCCCAUUAGUGGGGGACAACUCGGGGAAACUCGAGCUAAUACCGCAUAAUCCCUACGGGGGAAAGCAGGGGACCUUUUGGCCUUGCGCUGAUGGAUGAGCUCACGUCGGAUUAGCUUGUUGGUGAGGUAAAGGCUCACCAAGGCGACGAUCCGUAGCUGGUCUGAGAGGAUGAUCAGCCACACUGGGACUGAGACACGGCCCAGACUCCUACGGGAGGCAGCAGUGGGGAAUCUUCUGCAAUGGGCGCAAGCCUGACAGAGCGGCGUCAUGUGAAGGAAGAAGGCCUGAAAUAGGUUGUAAACUUCUUUUACUGAGUAAUGAAUACUGACAACGCAGUAAAAAAGUAUCGGCUAACUCCGUGCCAGCCGCCGCCGUAACAC
rnacentral:rRNA from 1 species